rnacentral:rRNA from 1 species
UACAGAGGGUGCGAGCGUUGUUCGGAAUUAUUGGGCGUAAAGGGCGCGUAGGCGGUGCGGUAAGUCACCUGUGAAAUCUCCUGGCUCAACUGGGAGCUUGCAGGCGAAACUGCCGUGCUGGAGUGUGGGAGAGGUGCGUGGAAUUCCUGGUGUAGCGGUGAAAUGCGUAGAUAUCAGGAGGAACACCGGUGGCGAAGGCGGUGCUCUGGGCCAGUACUGACGCUGAGGAGCGAAAGCGUGGGGAGCAAACAGG